ACCACCCCCAUUCACUCCAUCUUACUCGGCACGUUUCUCAUCUCGAUGUCACGACAAAUACGUCGCUUCCUUGUCGUUUGCAUCUGAUAUAUUACAUAGAUCGACACGUAUUGCGUGUAUACAUGUGCAUGCAUUUAUCUUUACAAUUUUUAUUUACAUCUCGUACCAUGGAGAUUGUGAUAAAGAAAGUCGGCAAAGUAGGAGAAGAAUGGCUUACGGAGAAGUUAACGCUAGUUUGAUAAAAAAGAUGUAUCGUCCAGUGUUAGUCAAGUAGCACUGGUAGUACCGUAACUCGUGGAUUUGUCGGUUGUCCUGUUUCACCUGUACUUGCAGUUCACGCUGGUUCACGCCCUUCUUCUUUUACAUCGCUCUCACUAACGGUUAAUCGACGUCGACCACUUCUUGCGUUCGAAAGAAGAAAAUUGAAUGUACAUGCAGCGCCAUCGAGUAGCGAAAUCGAGUAACGAAUUUUGCCGCCGCCUUCGCUUCUUCGUUUCGCGAAGUUCGGCUAAUUAUUGUGUUUGAAAAACGCAAAUGAGACAAAUUAUGAGAAUUCGAAUCGAUUAUUUGCAUGUUUGAAAAAAAUGGCAUUGUUGCUCGAUAAAUUAAGAUUGAAAAAGAUUGUAAAAUUAUCCGUUCGAUAUGUUGCUGGUAGUACACAUGGAAAAGAUCACUGGUCUGUUAUAAGGAAAAAAAAAACUACAAAGGAUAAAGCGUUAGAAUACUUUGAUGAUUUUUAUGCAAAUGUUUAUAAAAACAAUUGGAAGGACAUACGAACUGCGUUAUUAAAAAAAGAAUCCAAAUAUUUGGCUGUUGUUAAUAAUUUCAGUGAUACGGAAAAAAUUCGAUCUAAUUUGGAGCUACUUGGUGCAUUAAAUUUAAGAAGUGUAUAUAACGUACAGAAAAAAAAUGUAGAUUUUUUUAAGAGUAAAAGAGAGGCCAAGUAUGGUAAAUCUGAUGAUGAUAUACAAAAUUCGAUAGAAACUGAAACAUCUUUAGAUCGGAUGUCAGAACUUCAAGCAGCUAAUUAUCCAAAUUUAUUAGAAGCUGAAACUGAUUCUGACAAAACAGAUUCUGAUAAAAAAAAUGAAAAUAUACCUAUAAAAUUACAAUCUAUAGAUGCAAGUUUAAAUGAUAUUAAUAUAGACAAUACUCGUAUCGUUGAUUCAUCUCUAAAUUUAUCUAUGCUUCAUGAAUAUGUGCCUACUAGCAAAUUAAAGGGCUUAGAUGAUUGGGUUUUGGAAUCUGAUCAUUAUAAAUUUUAUACCAAGGCUGAUGAUUUUAAAGUAAGUGUUGAGAAUGAGCAUGUUUUGCCAUUUCCAGAACAUUUACACGUAUAUACUUUUGAAAGAGAUAAUUAUACUAGAUUUCCAAAUCCUAAAAAAGGAUCUACUGGUGUAUUAGAUUAUUAUUUAUUUGAUGGAGGAUCUAUACUUCCUGUAUUAGCUUUAGAUAUACAAUUAGGUGAUAUUGUACUUGAUAUGUGUGCUGCACCUGGAGGAAAAGCUUUAACUAUUCUUCAAACUCUCAUGCCACGUUUAGUGAUUGCUAAUGAUGUUAUCGAAUCUAGAAUAAAAAGAAUUAAAAAUGUCAUGAAUCAAUUUGUUUCAAAUAUUUGUGAGAAAGAAAAUAUGUUUCUUAUAACGCAACAAGAUGCUAGAACAAUCAAUGAAAAUGGUAGAUAUAAUAAGAUUUUAGUUGAUGUCCCAUGUACAACGGAUAGACAUAAUUUACAUACUGAUGAAAACAAUAUUUUUAAACAAAGCAGGGUUAAAGAAAGAUUAAAAUUGCCAGAAAUUCAAUCUGAGAUUUUAGCGUCGGAAUGCAUUGAAAUUAGUAUCAGUAGGGGGCACAGUAGUUUAUUCAACAUGUUCUCUUAGUCCAAUACAAAAUGAUGGUGUUGUACAAGUAGCAUUAAAGAAAGCUUGGCAAGAAAAUAACUGUGUCAUGGUUGUGAAAGAUAUGACAGAAGCAUUGUUGCCCUUACGAUGCAUAUAUGACUUUGGCAGAAUUGGUUUAAAAUAUGGUCAUAUUGUUAUACCCACUUGUCAUAAUAAUUGGGGUCCGAUGUAUUUUUGUAAAAUAGUAAAAGUACAGUAAAGAUAAAUGAGUAUUUUUUCUAUAUUAAAUAAAAAAAUAUUUAAAUUUGUA